GGCGGUGGCCUUCGCCAAGGUGCUGGACGGCGAGUGGACGCACUGGCUCAAGGUGGCGGGAGGAGUCUUCUUCAACUUCUGGGUGCUGUUCCACCUCUACCCGUUCGCCAAGGGUCUCCUGGGGAAGCAUGGCAAGACCCCCGUCGUCGUGCUCGUCUGGUGGGCAUUCACCUUCGUCAUCACCGCCGUCCUCUACAUCAACAUCCCGCACAUCCAUGGAGGAGGAGGCAAGCACAGCGUGGGGCAUGGGAUGCACCAUGGCAAGAAGUUCGACGGCUACUACCUCUGGCCGUGAGCGCGCGCCGCGGGGCCGGCGCGCGGGGGUCGAUCGGGACGAAGAAGAUCGACAGACAGACAGAGCCUGUGUGAGUUGAUG
rnacentral:lncRNA from 1 species